rnacentral:rRNA from 1 species
GUAGUCUCGCACAGAUGCAUAUCAAUAAGCGGAGGAAAAGAAACUAACAAGGAUUCCCCUAGUAACGGCGAGCGAAGCGGGAAGAGCUCAAAUUUGAAAUCUUAAAGGGUUUCCCUUUACGAAUUGUAGUUUAAAGAAGUGUUUUCUGUUGAGGUUUUGGUAAAAGUUCUUUGGAAUAGGACAUCAUAGAGGGUGAGAAUCCCGUAUUUGACCUUUACUUUCAACUUUGUGAUACACUUUCAAAGAGUCGGAUUGUUUGGGAAUGCAGUCCAAAAUGGGUGGUAAAUUUCAUCUAAAGCUAAAUAUUGGCGAGAGACCGAUAGCGAACAAGUACCGUGAGGGAAAGAUGAAAAGAACUUUGAGAAGAGAGUUAAACAGUACGUGAAAUUGUCAAAAGGGAAGCGUUUGACACCAGUGUUGUUUUUCUGAAAAUCAAUUAAAGAACUGUUUAUGCUAAGUUGUUUAGACUUUAUCAGCUAACUGUUUAGUUUUGAGCUUUUCUUUAAUGCACUUUUCAGUUAACAAGUCAACAUCAAUUUCUUUUGCUGUAAAAAAGCUUGAGGAAGGUGGCUUGAGAUUCGUCUUAAGUGUUUAUAGCCUCUUGCCUAUGCAGUCGGAGAGAUUGAGGUCUGCAGCGUAGAUCCUUCGGGGCUAAAUGCAUUUGUGCUAAGUUAUAGCAUUUUAUAGACAACUUGUUGACUAUGAUUUGUCUUGUAGCUUACUCGCUUAUGUUAUUUUACCUACGCUUAGGAUGUUGAUCUGUAGUGCGUGCGC